rnacentral:lncRNA from 1 species
UAAGAAAACGUGAAAGGAAGGUAAAGAUUAAAUAUAUACAAUUACCAAUGGAGAGUCAAAGUAUGGAGUCAAGGCAGACUUCGGAAUGUUGGUUGAAACCCAGAAAUGUUGACACCAUGAAUGUUAUCAACAUUCCACCCAACAUUGAAAACAUGAAUGUUAUCAACAUUGGUCCCAACAUUGUCGGAGUCAACAUUGACUCUAACAAUCUCCCCCUUAAUCUUUUCCUUCCUGCAACAAAAACACAA